UUUUUUUUUUAGGAAACAGACUUAUAUGUGUCGUCGGCUACAUAUCACCACUACUUCUCGUCGUCGGGGAAUCAUUCCUGCGCUCCUUUUUUUCAUUUUAAUCACCGAACCGUGACUGCUGGAGAGCGCAAGCAAAUGCGCAUCGGCGUGCGCAUCUUUGAGUCUUCAGAGGAGAAAAACACCGUGGACAAUCUCUCCCUGACAUCCAAAGACCUCUCCUCUGCAAUCCUCUCUUCUUCUUCACCACCGCCUAUGGCCGCACAUCAUCAUCGGCAUCCCUGAGCCGAGCUGGACCUUUUUCCAUCCAUUUACUUGUCCUCGAAUGGUCUCUGAAUCAAGGGGAGACAUUUCCACACAUUUUUUUUUUUAAAUCAUCUUUUUUUUUUUUUUUUUUAAAGAGCCCGGUAGGUGCUAUGUUGCUGGGCCCAUCUCUGUAAGAUCUUGUGAUUAAAUACACGAUCUGUCCUCCCACAUUCGUCCACAAACCGACCACAGAGAGAGAGAGAGAGAGAGAGAGAGAGAGAGACCUCCUGGUACUCUCCUAUACUGAGCUCCUGGCAGCGAUGCAUCCUAACGCAGUGAUGAUGCUGACUGUGGUGGUCCUUUUGGGGAACUUGAUGCUGCCUUUCAUCUCGGCGCAAAACGCUGGGUUUGUGAAGUCGCCAAUGUCUGAGACUAAGCUCACGGGGGACACCUUUGAGCUGUACUGCGACGUGGUCGGCAACCCCACUCCGGAGAUCCAGUGGUGGUAUGCCGAGAUCAACCGAGCUGACUCCUUCAAGCAGCUGUGGGACGGGGCCCGCAAGCGGCGGGUGUCCAUCAACACGGCCUACGGCACCAAUGGGGUCAGUGUGCUCGGCAUCACGCGUCUCACGCUGGAGGACUCUGGGACCUAUGAGUGCCGGGCCAGCAACGACCCCAAGCGCAAUGACCUUCGACAAAACCCUGCCACCACCUGGAUCCGCGCCCAGGCCACCAUUUCGGUGCUACAGAAACCAAAGAUCAAUGCCUCCGAUCAGAUCAUCCUGUCGGCGGACGCCCCUAAAAAAGAACUCAUCCUGCUGUGUAACCUCACCACGGCCCACACCCCCCACAGGGAAAGCUUCUGGAUGAAGAAUGGAAAGGAAAUCGCAAACACGCGGACAGAGCCGAGGAACACAUCGUACAGAAUCAAUAAACCACGGGCGGACGAUUCUGGGGAAUACAUGUGCGUUUACACAUUUGACAUGGCACCGAAUGCAAAUGCUACAAUUGAAGUAAAAGCUGACAGCAAUGCCAUCAACUUGAAUAAGGAAUCUGCUCUGAGAAAGGCAAAACCUGACAUCACUGGCCACAAACGAAGUGAAAAUAAAAACGAGGGGGAAAGCGCAAUGCUUUACUGCAAGUCUGUUGGUUACCCACAUCCCACCUGGACAUGGCGCAGAGUGGACGGGACAUCCUACACGGACAUUGACAACUCCACCGGACGCUUUAUCAUCACUAUCAGAGACAACUACACAGAGCUCAACAUACUAAACCUGGAUCUAAACACGGAUCCUGGAAUAUACCAAUGCAAUGCCACCAACGUGAUUGGAAACACCGCUGAGACCACUAUACUACGGGUGCGCAGCCACCUGGCACCGCUUUGGCCUUUCCUGGGUGUGCUUGCAGAAAUAAUAAUCCUAGUAGUCAUCAUUGUUGUGUACGAGAAACGCAAGUCGCCAGACGACAUUAUUGAAGAUGCAAGUAGUGGAGGCUUCAAGGCAAUAUGAUGACGAACCAGUUGGACCCAUGAAAACGAACUCAACAAACAACCACAAGGACAAAAACAUUCGCCAGAGGAAUACGAAAUAAGCAAUUUACUCAAAUGAGAUGGCUAAACUGCAUUUCUUUGACUACAUGAAGGUAUCAGAGGUGGAUGGAGCUCCGGGCUGUUUUCGAAAAAAGCAUAUCUUGUCUCAUUUUAUGAGAAACAAUAUCAGCAUAACACUGGCAACAAAAAGAACAUAAUGGCUGUCUUAAGCAUGCCUUAUUCAGUCUUGCGUGGAGGUUUCAGGAUGACGAAUAAUGACUAAAGCCACCACGAAAGGUGUACACAUUUUUAAUGUGCUGUUGAUGUCUCCUUUAUUCAUUUUAUCAUAUCCUCAAACGAGGUGAUCCCUUUUGUAUUACAUAUCAUGUACAAUGCAUGCAAGAUAAUUACGCAAUAGGAUACUCAGAAUAGACAUUUUCUGUUGUUAUCCCUCGUGUGGCUUUUUUUUGCAUCUAAAAUGACCUAUGUUUUUUAUGGAGUCAUCCUUAUAAUAUAUAUAUAUACAUAUGUAUAUGUAUAUAUACAUAUAUAUAUAGUUAGUUUUAUUCUUGAAAAUUUGUACAGCAUAUCAUGGUCAUUUAACUAUGUUUGAUUUUGUGACAAUGAGUCCACUUUUAACAGAACUUUUAUUGUGAAGCAACGGCUUCAAUGACUGGCAGUAUUUAAAUUUAAUUGAGAGUGAUUACAGAAAAUGACUAAUGUGUGUUUAACUAUCUAAACAGAAAUGAUAAGUGUAUUAUUAUUUUUUUCUUUCCAGAGUAACUUAGGUGUCUUGUAUAUGUUGAAGUAUGAGUGUUCAAAUGAUAGGAAAUCUGUAAAAAAAAUAAUAUUUUUUUUAUAUUUCCCAAUUUCAUUCAUUUAUUUUUAUUUAUUUUUUCUCUCUUUAACUGUAUAGCAUGGCUAUAAUCCUAUGCAAUAUGUAUUCUUAAAUAGAUAUAUGGAGGGCAGUUUGUUUUACUCAGUGAAGCUUUAAUAUUGUGGGAUCACUUGGAAGCUGGCAUAGCAAAAUUCACUGCUGUAGCUGCAUGACUCCUCUUUCAAUACAAUGUAUCCAUGUGUGUUGCCGUGGAAAUGGACCUGCGUAAAGGUGGGAAACAGAGGGACCAGAGUAUAUAGCCACGAUCAAACAUAUGAGUGAGACCAAUAUUUUUUUUUCUGAAUAAAAAAUGUAAAAAAUGAAA